rnacentral:rRNA from 1 species
UACGGAGGGAGCUAGCGUUGUUCGGAAUUACUGGGCGUAAAGCGCGCGUAGGCGGCUUUGUAAGUUAGAGGUGAAAGCCCGGGGCUCAACCCCAGAAUUGCCUUUAAGACUGCAUCGCUUGAAUCCGGGAGAGGUGAGUGGAAUUCCGAGUGUAGAGGUGAAAUUCGUAGAUAUUCGGAAGAACACCAGUGGCGAAGGCGGCUCACUGGACCGGCAUUGACGCUGAGGUGCAAAAGCGUGGGGAGCAAACAGG